AAUCGGCUCGGUCGUCGCAAAAUACCAAAGUCGAAACCAGAGGUCCGGUGCUCCUUGAAAUCGCCAUUCGAAUCUGUAAAACCACGUAAAACAAAUCCGUGUACGCUUGUAAUUAUGCACGUUUUCACCAUUGACGGUUCCAGGUUGUUCGCCCUCCUUCCCCAUUUGGCCUUUGUGCAUUUGUACAUAUAUUCAUAUAGUGACU